ensembl:lncRNA
AGCGCUGGGAUGGAUGGCACUCAGGGCCCUGGGGAGCAGCAUCCCCAUCACAGUGCUGCAAAAGGACGGCAUCCAGGCCCAGGGGAGCAGCAGCAGCUCACUGCAUCAGGUCACAGCCCUUCCUCCAGCAGGCUGAGCAGCACAGCACCAUGCCAGCUGCCAUGCCAGCCCCCUGCCCGCUAUGCUGCAUUACCAGGACCCCUCCAUCAGCUCUGCCAUCCCCUCCCCUUGCACUCCCAGCUCUCAGAGCACCUCCCAGGAGGCUGUGAGCCAGGCUUACCUACCUGCGAGGUCUCUUCCUACACCCCGAGCACUGCGAGCAGCGCUGCCACAGAGGUGCCAGAUGUUUCAGCAUCUCCCCCCUCCCCGCAUUACUUUGGCAAGCUGUUCAGUCUCCUGUCACAGGGAGACGUCACUGGGAGGCUCGAGUUCUCUGGAAAGAGGGGGAAAGGUGCCCAGAUCAAACACACAGCUGCUGACAGCCUGUGCUGAUUUGGUUUUAAAACCGUAUGUUUUGCAUCUGCCUCGCCGUGGCUUUUGUAGGUGGGCUCAGUGCAUGGUAAAUCAGGAUAACAAACCUACAUUUACCAUGAUCCUUUCAUCUCCUAGGAUCCCGAAGCACAUCGUUUAAUUGCACUCAGCCUGCACAUGCGUUCCGUAAAUAAAGGAAUGAUGAAUUAGCACAGCUGCUGCAGCGUUCACACGAGCUCCUAAGGCACAAUCUCCUCGUGCGAUCAAUCCAGCCCCGUGCUUCGGUGUUUUGUCAUCAAUCGAGCUCAGGAAGAAAUGUUCUCCCUACCUGGAAUGCAGCGCUGCUGAACCAGCUGAGUGGAGGAAGACAUCCAGGAUGUGGCAAUCCGUCUCCUGUCCGUUCCAGGCUGCUGUAAAUAUCCACCCGGCGGCUCUCGGUGGGCGCUGAUCCCGCAUGGGGGCAGCGGGGAAGAGGUGUGGGGUCUGCAUGGAGGUUAUCCGCCUUUGCUGGAGCUCAGUGCCGUUGCAGGGCUUGCUUGGGAGCGGUGAUUCCAGGCCAUGUGCUUCCUCCUCACACCUCAGCUGCAAAAGCCCUUUUCCUGUGCUGAGCGUGAAGCAUUCCUUGCAGCUCUGCUGUUAAAAAGGAUGCUAAUUACCCCUAAUCAUCCUGCAGGAAAAACAGAGGGCACGGCUGCCACGGAGCCUGCUUAUUCCAGACUGACUGAUCAGAAGGGAUCACGGAGGGCACAGAUGUACCAAAUCCAGGAGUCCUGCCCGGGCUGAGGCUCCUCUUUGGAGCACCACCACUAAAUGGGACAGCGGGGAGGUGGGGAUGCAGCGCUGGUGGAUGCGGUCAGGUCGAGGAACUUUCCUUUUUAUUCCUCCCGGGAUAAAAGGAGGCUCUCAGAGCCUGCAUUUCCACUGCAGCGGCGGCGUGAUUUUCACCCCGUGUCCAGACAAGAAAGCACCUCUGUAGCCUCUCCCCGCGUCGGAGUGGGACAUAACAUCCGAAUCACUUCCAAAAGCUCUCCAUUAAACUGAUUUACUGUCGGCAGCUUUGGUACGUGGGGCUCACAGAACCCUCUCCACGCCCCAUAGAGCCCCCCUCUCUGCCUGCAGGACCCCCUGCGUGCCACACCUCCACGCGCUGCUCCACCAUCCCCGCUGACACACACAGCCCCGCUGCUCCGGCGAGGUUAUAAUCCUCUCUUUGCAGAGGCAGACACGCGGGCCAGCUGGAGGCAGCCCAUUAAAGUGCCAUUUACUGGGCACAAGCGAAUUUGUGUUCCCCAGGACUGGGAUUUGCCAAGAUUAGACCAUAAAUUAGAGCGUUUCCUGGAAGAAAGUAAGGAGAGAAGAAAAAGAAGAAAAUAUAUAUAUAUAUAUAUGAUAAAAUGGAACAUUUUGUAGCCAACGUGGAUGCCAAUAAAGGAACGUUUCAUUUUUUGCCUGGAAGGGAGCAGCAGCAGCGUGUUGUUAUGGGCACAAGGAGGGCUGAGAUGCUCCUCCCCUUCACCUGCAUGCGGGGUCAGCACCUUCUGCACGGGGAGAGGCUGUGUCCCAC